rnacentral:lncRNA from 1 species
CGAGACUGAAAGUAUUCUGUGGUCAAAUCAAACCUGUUCUUCUGGAUUGACAGGUCAUGAUGAGCAUCUGAUCGUCUUCAGUGUUGAGCUGUUCAUCUGCAGUAUGUCAGAGGAGCGAGGAAAGAUGAGUCUCUCACAGAAACAGAGUGUAAGAUCAGGCUCACAUGUGUCCAGCUCUGUGUCUGUGAAGAGUGACCGCUCAAAACAUGAACCACCGGGAUUCAGUGAGAAAACACCAUCAGCCACUGAAAGUGUAAGAUCAGGCUCACAUGUGUCCAGCUCUGUGUCUGUGAAGAGUGACCGCUCAAAAGAAGGUUUGCCACUGAGAUUCAGUGAGGAAACACCAUCAGCUACUGAAAGGCUGCAAUAUGAGACAUUAGAUUCAGACGAGCAGAUUAACAAGAACCACAAGGAUUUCACAGACAAACUCCUAGAAAUCUUCCAGGAUCUUGAGAAGAAAAUAAUCAAAUUUCUAAAAAAUGAGCUGGAAAUGUUUAAGAAAAUAUUACAAAAAGAGGACAUGCAAUACUUUGUGAAGGAGUUUAAUGAGAACAGAUGCAGUAACAAAGAAGCAGCUCUUGAUCUCACGCUCUGCUUCCUGAGAGAGAUGAAGCAAGAUGAAGCUGCCGAUACUUUAGAAGGUAAGAGACUCUGUUUGCUGUUUCCAGCGCUGUGUCAAUCGGUUUUCUCUUCAACAAUCAC